UGAGCAAUCUGCCCUUCUCAUCGGAAUAAAGCGUUGGAAACGACGUCUAAUGCCGAAUACGACCUCCUUUCGCAUGAUCGGAGGUGGAAAGCUCCGGCGGAGAAGGAUGAGCUCGCGGCCUAUCAGCUAGUUGGUGUGGGUAAUGGCCCACCAAGGCGACGACGGGUAGCCGGCCUGAGAGGGUGACCGGCCACACUGGGACUGAGACACGGCCCAGACUCCUACGGGAGCAG
rnacentral:rRNA from 1 species